GUUUUCCCUUCCAAAUGUUUCCUAACGCUUGCUCCUCUGGGGAGUCUCUCUGUUCCCAGUGCUUCUGCCUUUGCUCUCCUAUCACCCUUGCUGUCUGCCAUCCCUGUGCUCCUCUCCCUUUCCUCCAGAGCUCAUCCUCUUCCCUUCCCUACAGGGCUUUGCUGGUGUGCAGGGGGGUAGAGGGCAUGCAGGACCUCCUGGACCCAUGGGGCCCCAAGGAAAACCUGGAGCUGAUGGAGACCUGGGUUGCAUGGGUCCAAAGGGUCUGCCUGGGAAACCUGGCUUGGAGGGACCACAGGGGCCGGUUGGCAUGUAUGUAAGUGCUGCUGCUGCCCAGGGGAGGCAUGGGGACCGAGGGAGGGGGUG
rnacentral:lncRNA from 1 species